CGAUACACUGUUCUCAUCAGCACAUUAAACCCCCCCCCCACCAAAAAAAAUUAGACACCCAGACCUUCAUCCACCAUCACAAAUGCAAAAGCUCCGUAGGUCGUUCAAGAGGUUUUGAUUGAGACGAAAGAAUCGGGCCAGCGUCUGAGCAGGUGAAGCUACAGAGUUGGCAGCGCUGACUCGGAAACAUUCCGGGUUCAUACUUUGAAGGUAAUAUUUUCUUGUUGUUUUUCUUCGGAUAUCGCUGACGGUCCACAAGCAACAGAACUGGAUUCGCGGCCUGCAAAAAGUAAGAGGCUCCAAGCAUGGGUGACGAGAACCUUGUCACGAGAAUCGUCAGAUGAACGUGUUCUCUCUUCAGAUCUCCAUUCGGCUUCUUUGACUACUAGCAAAUUAGCAAAUCGCCAUCUCAUUUCUUAACUGAUCUCAAGUGCCAUCACUUUUCCAGACUAAUUUUGGGGGAGACACAGACUUCAGGACGGGAACUGGACCGGAGCGGAGCCAAGGGAAAUGAAAAAAGAAAGAGAGAGAGAGAAAGACAGAGACAGAGAGUGAGAGAAAUGAGAGAGAGCGAUCACAUACCCAAUUUGGAGAAAACAUCACUAAAAUGAAUUCCAUUUUCCCUGUUGGUUUUUAAUUUUCCAUCCCUGUGCUGACUCAAGUGUUCAACCUUUUCUUCCUCCAUCCCUACUUCCCUCCCGCUUUUAGAAAAUCCUUCUGGUUGUUGACAGUCCAAGGUUUUCAAGCUGCUGACCUAAAUCUUUCUUCCAGGCCAUUCUCACUAAGAGACCCAAGCCAGAAAACAGGUUCUGCUUAUUGUGACACCGAUGCCCUUGAAACAGACUUCUUGCACAAGCCUCCAUGUUAUUUUUGCCAAGUUGACCGAUGAAUCCUGGGCUGGAUGCCUCUCCGGGCUGAUCUAGAGACAGAGUGAGACGCAGUAUGACCUACUGGAGCGAGCCCAAGCCUGGGACCUGGGAGCUGAGAUCAGACGGGGACACUGAUCCGUGGAUACGAGAAGCGGCGUGGCUCAGUGGAAAGAGCCCGGGCUUGGGAGUCA